AACUGCUCCGCGCAAGGACGCCGCCUCCGUUCCGCAAACCGCAGUCCGCCCCCCUCCCAAGUCCCAAUCACGCCUCCUCCGCAGCUCCGGUCGCCUGCUGUAAUGUAAUGGGCAUUUGCUGCUGGAGACGCCUCCCGAUUCGUCGUGCUGCAGGGAUUGGUGUCUGUCCGGACUCGAGCGCGACCUGCCCCAUUCAUAAGGCUGGAGCGAAGGCGCAACUUCGGUUAAGGUUUGCUGGUGGCAGAACAAGGCUCGCAAUGGCCAAGGGUGCCAUUGAAUUGGAAAGAUUGGAUAACAAGGCAAAAGCUAGUGGUGCAUGCCAGCUUGUUGUGAAGGAUCUGAAAGAAGAAUCUGUUAGUGAAUAUAUAUACCCCUGUCUACAUGCUGGUGCAGUCUAUGAAAGAAAGUAUCUGCUUGGGACUUCAAUGGCAAUGCCUGUUAUUGCUAAGGCAAUGGUUGAUGUUGCCAAGGAAGUUGGUGCAGAUUCACUUGCUCGUGGUUGCACAGGGAAAGGUUCGCUUUGAGUACAUUUUUUGCUUUGAAUCCUGAACUGAAAGUGGUGGCACCUUGGAGGGAGUGGGACAUCACAGGACGUGAGGACGCGAGUAUGCAAAGAAACAUAAUGGUGAUAUCCUUGAGAGGACCGAGCAAAUGAGCCAAAGGAAGACAUGUACCGUGUGUUUGGUUGCGGGACUAGUGGGUUGGAAUGGCUCUAACCCACGUUUUAGGGACGACUCCAACUCUUCCCUUGUUUGGUUGUGAGAAUGGGUUCGCUCCGUUUUCUGUUUGGUUGGAGGAAUGAGUUGAGGUUGGAUCCAUCCCAUUUUCUGUUUGGAUGGAUGGAUUGAAUCAAAAUCUGGAUGUGGUCACCUUUCCAUUGAAUUGGUGAGGUUACCCUCCAAAUAUAUAAUGCACACCCAUUGUUUCAUCAUCAAUAAUUUAUAUAAUUAUCACACAUGGUAAUUUUAUUA